rnacentral:rRNA from 1 species
AGACGUCUACAUUAGAUACCCGCGUAGUCCCAGCCGUAAACUAUGCGCGUUAGGUGUAUCGGUGACCACGAGUCACCGAGGUGCCGAAGGGAAACCGUGAAACGUGCCGCCUGGGAAGUACGGUCGCAAGGCUGAAACUUAAAGGAAUUGCGGGGAGCACCACAACGGGUGGAGCCUGCGGUUUAAUUGGACUCAACGCCGGGAAGCUCACCGGAUAAGACAGCGGAAUGAUUGCCGGGCUGAAGACUCUGCAUGACUAGCUG